CAGGUCUGGCGUAAAAUAAGUAAUUCUUAGAUUUGCAAGGAGUCUCGGAUAAGACUAAGAAUAUUCCUUCGGACACACAGUAACAAUUUCAAUAAACCAGAAGUUGUUUUGAAUCCAACAAAAAAGUUGUAAAAUAUGUCUUUAAAUGUUUGAAAAAGUGUACGUUCAGACAUGGAUAAAAUGUUAAAUUC